rnacentral:lncRNA from 1 species
UUGACAUCAGGCAAUGCUCGAUUGUCACUAAUCUGCACAAGACAGAAAGAACCCAAACAAAGUGUUCAGCAGAUUGGAUGCAGCAAGGAUGCUAUAACAUUAUUUCACAUGUUCAUAUACGAAAUGAUCAGGAAUUGUUAUACAAAAUCUAAUUUCAAACAAUGCCUUAACAUGAAAACUGACCAUUCCGACCAUGGGUGGAACAGGAGCAGCUGGAUUCCCAUUGCUAGUCCCAGGAUUCGGAUUGGCAGCAGCAAAAUUUGGCAUUGAAGGGGCCUGUAUGUAUAUCAUGUCAAACGAUUAACUCCCAUUAGGUCUGAUACAUCCUUUUUGUAGGCAAAUCAAGGUUAAAAUACCAAUAUCGA